rnacentral:rRNA from 1 species
AUGGCGAACCAUGGCGAUCCAGUGGCUUCGGGAUCAAAAGGAAAGGGCAAGCUAGAGGAGCUGACGAAAGAGCUGGCCCUGAAGGAAGACGACCUCGAUGACAUCGUUUUUGAGGAAGAUGACGCCCCGGCGGAGGAGGACCUCCGCUGGAUGAUCUUGGCUAGAGUUCACAUGGACAAAGGGUGUAGUACCUACUGGUUCUUCCGCAACAUGAGGGCAGCCUGGGACCUCGCUAGGCCGGUGAAAAUCAAAACCCUAGAGGAUAACCUCUUCCAAAUGCAAUUCAACUGCCUGGGUGAUUGGGAG